ACUGCACAUUAUUAAAACUUGGGAAGUAACGCCAUUGUAUGGCCAGUGGACUCUCAAGUGUCGGAAAUGUGCUACAAUAAUCCGGCAGGAUUUCGCUGACACCACGAGGGUCUGUGUGGCCCGCUGAGUGGAGUUUGAUAGUAGUCCUCGCCACAAUU